UUAACUCUAAUUUGUAUGGAGUUUGAACGUUUGCUUACGUUUGCCGCUAGGGGCGCUGUUCCAACUGCAUAUAAAAUUGAGUUA
rnacentral:pre_miRNA from 1 species